UAACGCGUGGGUAACCUGCCUUAUACAGGGGGAUAACAGUUAGAAAUGACUGCUAAUACCGCAUAAGCGCACAGUGCCGCAUGGUACGGUGUGAAAAACUCCGGUGGUAUAAGAUGGACCCGCGUCUGAUUAGCCAGUUGGCGGGGUAACGGCCCACCAAAGCGACGAUCAGUAGCCGACCUGAGAGGGUGACCGGCCACAUUGGGACUGAGACACGGCCCAAACUCCUACGGGAGGCAGCAGUGGGGAAUAUUGCACAAUGGGGGAAACCCUGAUGCAGCAACGCCGCGUGAGUGAAGAAGUAUUUCGGUAUGUAAAGCUCUAUCAGCAGGGAAGAAGAUGACGGUACCUGACCAAGAAGCCCCGGCUAACUACGUGCCAGCAGCCGCGGUAAUACGUAGGGGGCAAGCGUUAUCCGGAUUUACUGGGUGUAAAGGGAGCGCAGACGGCAGUGCAAGUCUGGAGUGAAAGCCCGGGGCCCAACCCCGGAACUGCUCUGGAAACUGUGCGGCUAGAGUACUGGAGGGGCAGGCGGAAUUCCUAGUGUAGCGGUGAAAUGCGUAGAUAUUAGGAGGAACACCAGUGGCGAAGGCGGCCUGCUGGACAGUAACUGACGUUGAGGCUCGAAAGCGUGGGGAGCAAACAGGAUUAGAUACCCUGGUAGU
rnacentral:rRNA from 1 species